rnacentral:rRNA from 1 species
AUGAACGCUAGCGACAGGCUUAACACAUGCAAGUCGAGGGGCAGCAUAUAAAUAGCUUGCUAUUUAUGAUGGCGACCGGCGCACGGGUGAGUAACGCGUAUGCAACCUACCUACUACUGGGGGAUAGCCCGGCGAAAGUCGGAUUAAUACCGCGUAAAACAGGGGUCCCGCAUGGGAAUAUUUGUUAAAGAUUUUAUCGGUAGUAGAUGGGCAUGCGUUCCAUUAGCUAGUUGGCGGGGUAACGGCCCACCAAGGCAUCGAUGGAUAGGGGUUCUGAGAGGAAGGUCCCCCACACUGGUACUGAGACACGGACCAGACUCCUACGGGAGGCAGCAGUGAGGAAUAUUGGUCAAUGGGCGAGAGCCUGAACCAGCCAAGUCGCGUGAAGGAAGACGGCCCUACGGGUUGUAAACUUCUUUUAUAUGGGAAUAAUGAUCGCUACGUGUAGCGGGAGAGAAUGUACCAUAGGAAUAAGCAUCGGCUAACUCCGUGCCAGCAGCCGCGGUAAUACGGAGGAUGCGAGCGUUAUCCGGAUUUAUUGGGUUUAAAGGGUGCGUAGGUGGCCAAUUAAGUCAGUGGUGAAAGUUUGUCGCUCAACGAUAAAAUUGCCAUUGAAACUGGUUGGCCUUGAGUGUAAAUG